rnacentral:lncRNA from 1 species
GCCUAAUGGGGUCUGACCUCACCCUGUUUGGAGGUGGCCUUGUAAGAGCAAGAGCAAGGUCCACCAGAGAACAUCUGUUAACCUCUUCCCCAGCUCUUAGAGAAAAGAGCUGGAACCACAAAUUUACAGACACUGCUGAGGCCUGGGACCACCCAGUGGGGAGAUCUCUGGUGGAGGGAGCAGAGGAAGGAAAGAGGAAGGAUAUCAAAGAGUUGCAGAGUCAGAGGAGAAGGGAUGGCCCCGAGAGCACUGACAAUGUGUGUGGUAUGGUCUCUGCCCAGGCCAGCAGCAAGGGAAUGGAGGAGGACUUCCCUCUCUGCACAAGAAGUGAAUCUGGAGAAGAGACACCUGGCGUAUUUAGAGAGCCAAUGGCUCCUUCAUCUCCAAAGGAAUCUUGGGAACUUGCUGCCAUACAGGAUGGUGAUCAGUUGGACUGCUGGAAUGCACAGGUUGAUUCCCUAAGAUUAUCUUUGGGCUUUGGGGACAUUUGCAUCACAUGUUAAAAACUGGUGAAAAUUCAUUUAAUUUUUUAAUUUUUAAUUUUUUUCUUUUGUCCUUUUAGUGCUGCACCUGUGGCAUAUUCCCAGGCUAGGGGUCUAAUGGGAGCUGUAGCUGCUGGCCUAUGCCAGAGCCACAGCAACGCCAGACCCGAGCUGUGUCUGUGACCUACACCACAGCUCAUGGCGAUCCUUAACCCACUGAGCCAGGCCAAGGAUCAAAGCCGCAACCUCAUGGGUCCUAGUUGGAUUCCUUUCCGCUGCACCAUGACAGGAACUCCUGAAAAUUUAUUUUUAUUUUAAAAUUUCUUACAAGUAUUUCAUCUGUCAUGAGAGAAAAUAAAAAAUUCCAAAGGGAAAAAUGCACACAUUGCUGUGCUCCAUGUCCGAAAAAGCAAAGUGAAUACUUAUCUGCUGCCAAUAUGCUUAAUUAGGGUAGACAAGGGAGGAAACAUUUAAAAUUAUGGUUUUGAAAAAAGCCACUGAAGUAAAUAGGCAUGACAUUGAGUGGUCAGACAUCUAUUCCCAAAUUUUUUUUUUUUUUUUUUUUUUUGUCUUUUUAGGGCCAUACCCGCAGCAUAUGGAGGUUCCCAGGCUAGGGGUUGAAUCAGAGCUACAGCUGAUAGCCUAUGCCACAGCCACAGCAACACGGGAUCUGAGCUGUGUCUGCGACCUGUACCACAGCUCACAGCAAUCCUUGAUCCUUAACCCACUGAAUGAGGCCAGGGAUUGAACCUGCUCAUGCAUACUAGUUGGAUUUGUUUCCUCUAAGCCACAAGGGGAACUCCCUGAUUUUUUUUAAUGCAUCUUUUUACUAUGUUUGUUUUAUAAAAAGAGGAACUCAAAGAGACAAAGUGGGCAUUAAGUAUUUUUAUAAAAUAUUCUGUAGAUUUAACAAUGCAGCUCUUUAAAAUUUUUCACUCCUGUAAAACAGAGAGCAAGAUUUUAUUAUUAAUAGCGGAC